CUCAGUGCGGUCAUUCUCCCUGUCCCUCACGUUCUCUGCCUCUCACGGAUGGGAGAAAACCUCCCCUCUCCCCUUCCUACUGCAGCCUCAAGAUCCAAGGGAGAAAAUAUGGGAAAGGAAGGGAAAAAGAAGAAAACGGAUUUAGGAGAACAAGAAGAUAAAGAAGAGGUGCAUAUAUUGCAUCUUCCCCACCAUUUGCUCAUUGCUCUCCAAGGGGAAACCCUAGGUGGUACAUCUUUCGGACCAUGCUUAGGUCACGUUCUUGAUCUUCGGUGAAGGCAAGUAAAUGUGUAGCGGUUGUUUUGUUACAAUUUUAACAUGAACUUGAAUAAGAUGCGGGUUGGGCAGUAGCAGCACGUUCACACUUCAUAAUUUCAUCUCUCUUUUUUUGUGUGUUGUAAUAAUAAAAGAACUUAAUAUGUAACGUUGUUGGCUUAAAUUUGAAGUGUGGUCAUGAUGUUAAACUUAAUGUCUUACUUGGAGUCUCUUGUUAAGAUGAUCUCAUGCUAGUGUGUUAAAACUUACAUGUUUUAUCUUCUUGUUA